AGUUCCGCCGGCUGUCCCGCCGCCUGGAAGCCGCCACAAAGCGGCGGAGCUACCGCUGUCCCGCCGGAAAACCGGCGAUUUCGACGCCGUUUUCGGCCAAGUUUAGGUGAGUCUUGAUCCCUUCUUUCUCCUGGUAGUGUUUAGGCAUGGAUUGAAGCAAGUUUUUAAGGUUUUGAGGCCGGUUUUGCAGAUUUUGCCUUUGAUUUUCUGGUCACUGUUCGGGGCGGUUUCCGGCCGGUUCUGGCCAUUUUUGGUCGAAGUCUCAGGUAUGAAAGUUGUUCCCCUUGCUUCAAGCUUCAACUUUGCUGUUGGGAGUUUUCUCAAAUUCGGAAGUUUGGGGUGGCGCGUGAGGCCCACUCGCCGCCGCCUGUGGCGGCGCGUGGCGGCGCGUCCGGUUGAGUUGCAGCCCUAGUUUCCUGUGGUUAGGUAGUCCUUACUGCUGUGAGCUUGUUGAGUGGUAGUGUGGCUAGUUUUUAAGAAAUGUUGGCAUGCUAGAACGUUAAGUGUGAUUUUAGGUUUGUUGGAGGUUUGAGUGAGGAAUGGAGGAUUAGAGGCAGCCUUCGUGGGUCUCUAAGUUCGACGACUUUGGAAAGUUGUCAUCUCUUGAAUUAAGGGUUAGUUAAGGGUAUUGUGUUAACCUAUAGUAUUUUAGUUACUAAGGUUUUAAUUGUGCUAUUUUUAGGUGAUUUGUGAAGUUGAGUUGGUUUACCUUGGUCGGUUGUGGAAUUUGCAGCGGGAGAUUUAGGUGAGUAAACCUCACCAAGGUUCACUUUUGAACCUAAUUAAGGAUAUUAUGGUUAUAUAAUGAUAAUGAUGGUGAUGUUGGUUUUAAUAUCAUGCUUUUAAUUGUUUUUAAAAUUUCAUGAGCUUGAUCGCCAACGGCUCAUAGGUAAGAUAAAAACAAGUUUUCUUUAUAUUGUGAUGUUGAGAAUAAUGAUGUGAUUUAUAUAUUAUGUUGUUGAGAAUAAUAAUUGUGAUCUUGUGUUGUUGUGGAUAAUGUUGUGAAAAUUAUUGUGCUUGUUGGAUAAAUAGCCAAACCGGGUUCCAAGCCUUUUUUGGGUGAUUGGUUGCGGUUAAGAUGCUAUUUAUCAUUUUUGUAUUGAUAUUAGACAGUCAAACCGGGUUCCAAGCCUUUGGCCGGGUGAUUGGUUACGGUUAGGAAUAGAGCUCUAGUCCGUCUGUCAGUGUAGGUCAUGGGAGAUACUGUAUGGUAUCUGGGACCCAUGGGUACACAUAGUGUUGUGGUAGGUCAUGAGAGGUAUUUUANNNN
rnacentral:lncRNA from 1 species